rnacentral:other from 1 species
AUAACCCUGCUGUGUGCGUGUGACGCUGAUGUUUUUGAGCCAACACAUUUACAUAGGGAGUCUGGUCUUUCAUCUGGCGUGGUGCCCCUUGGGGAUGGCAAAGGAUGAAAUAGGACGCCCACCUGCUGUACGCAGGAUCAAAAGUCAGCGUUGCAAACGGCACGGUGGGGCUUAU